UUUCAUGAGAGCUGAUUUUUCUUUUGGUUUAUAUGCAGAUACCCUAUUAUGACGAUUUAUCCACUGAAGCUAUAUAUCGAUUUGAUUGUACACCUCUUUGAUAUAUCAUUUCGAUAACAUCUUUGUUCCUCAAUCUGAGAUGAUUUGACGGAAGUGUUCAUAUUUCAGACCUCUAAGAGUUCACCAUUCCGGUCCUGCAAAAGAUGUGCGCUUAGAAUGAUACCCUAUUAUGACGAUUUAUCCACUGAAGCUAUAUAUCGAUUUGAUUGUACACCUCUUUGAUAUAUCAUUUCGAUAACAUCUUUGUUCCUCAAUCUGAGAUGAUUUGACGGAAGUGUUCAUAUUUCAGACCUCUAAGAGUUCACCAUUCCGGUCCUGCAAAAGAUGUGCGCUUAGAAUGGUCCUGAUGUUGCAGUCAUUAGGUGAUAUUUCCUCUGGUUCUUUGAUUUUUCAGGAACUCUUUUGUCUAAAAGAAAAAGCCAAGAAGAUCAUGACAGUAGUCUUGAAGAUCAACACUAUGUCAUUUAACAAUUAUAUUAUUUCUUAUUUAUUAUUUAGUUCUCACAAUUUGCCUUGAAUGAAAAAUAUGUCCAUAUUUAUCACAUUAA